UGGGGAAUAUUGCACAAUGGGCGCAAGCCUGAUGCAGCCAUGCCGCGUGUAUGAAGAAGGCCUUCGGGUUGUAAAGUACUUUCAGCGGGGAGGAAGGCGUUGUGGUUAAUAACCACAGCGAUUGACGUUACCCGCAGAAGAAGCACCGGCUAACUCCGUGCCAGCAGCCGCGGUAAUACGGAGGGUGCAAGCGUUAAUCGGAAUUACUGGGCGUAAAGCGCACGCAGGCGGUGUGUUAAGUCAGAGGUGAAAUCCCCGGGCUUAACCUGGGAGCUACAUUUGAAACUGGCAGGCGUGAGUCUCGUAGAGGGGGGUAGAAUUCCAGGUGUAGCGGUGAAAUGCGUAGAGAUCUGGAGGAAUACCUGUGGCGAAGGCGGCCCCCUGGACGAAGACUGACGCUCAGGUGCGAAAGCGUGGGGAGCAAACA
rnacentral:rRNA from 1 species